AUUAUUAAAAAAUUCAUUCAUUUAAAAAAAAUUAAGACAAAAAAAAAAUCUUAAAAUUGAGAAGAAACAAAAAUCUUUAAAAUUGUGAAGAAACGAUCAUGGGUCAUCAUAGUGCUUUGUUUAUAAAUACAUUUAUAGGAGUGUGGAUUUUUUAUGUAGGAUUUUCACAAAGGGCACCUCAAAAGAUAAGCCUACAGAGAAAUUCAUAUUUUUAUUGUUGGUGCAAUGUGGAAAUAUAUUUAAAUAGUAUAGCUAUAAAUAGAAUAUUUUCAAGGUGUAGCCGCACGACGAUACUCCAAAAAAGAAUACUUUAAAGGUAUAACCGCAUGGCGAUACUCCAAAAAAAAAUACUUUGAAGGUCUAGCCGGGUGGCCAUACUAUUUUGUAAGAAACAUAAAAGACCCUCCUUGCAAUUAGGCGCGCACGUGUUAAAAUAAGUAUAGCCACGCGACUAUAUUAUUAUUUUAUAUAUAAAAACAGAGAAAACCGGGUAUAGCUGAGUGGCAAUACUAUUUAUAUAAAAAAAGAGGACCCGCCUUGCGAUUAGGUGCUCAUGUGUCAAAAUACAUAUAGCCGCUCGGCUAUACCAUUUAAAUUUUUU
rnacentral:lncRNA from 1 species